ACGUUCUUGUGUUAUUCGCUGAACUUUUAUUCUUGUUCAGCGAUUGUCAAACAGAACGCAUAUUGAAACCCAGAACAGUUUACUCCACGUUGCAGAGCCUAUCAAUUCCAAGGCUUCUGCAUAACUACCCACUGUUCACAUAC
rfam:Drosophila virilis strain TSC#15010-1051.87 Ctg01_14646, whole genome shotgun sequence.